UGUGUGAUAUAUAUAUCAGCUGGUAGAGCAUGAGACUCUUAAUCUCAGGGAUGUGGGUUCAAGCCCCAUGUUAGUUAUACAU